rnacentral:tRNA from 1 species
UCCUGGUUAGCUCAGUUGAUAGAGAGCUCAACCAGAAAUGGGGAGGUGCCUUGUUCGAUACCAGGACCAGGCG